rnacentral:rRNA from 1 species
AUUGAACGCUGGCGGAAUGCUUUACACAUGCAAGUCGAACGGCAGCACGGACUUCGGUCUGGUGGCGAGUGGCGAACGGGUGAGUGAUGUAUCGGAACGUGCCCAGUCGUGGGGGAUAACGUAGUGAAAAUUACGCUAAUACCGCAUAUGAUCUAUGGAUGAAAGCGGGGGAUCGCAAGACCUCGCGCGAUUGGAGCGGCCGAUAUCAGAUUAGGUAGUUGGUGGGGUAAAGGCCCACCAAGCCAACGAUCUGUAGCUGGUCUGAGAGGACGACCAGCCACACUGGAACUGAGACACGGUCCAGACUCCUACGGGAGGCAGCAGUGGGGAAUUUUGGACAAUGGGCGAAAGCCUGAUCCAGCCAUUCCGCGUGCAGGAUGAAGGCCCUCGGGUUGUAAACUGCUUUUGUACAGAACGAAAAGGUUUCUACUAAUACUAGGAGCUCAUGACAGUACUGUAAGAAUAAGCACCGGCUAACUACGUGCCAGCAGCCGCCGUAA